rnacentral:lncRNA from 1 species
AUCCCUCCUUCCCCUAUACCUUUCUCCCUCCUAAGUUGCCCCUCUCCUCCUACUGCUUACCAGAAACGCUGGUAAGAGUGAUUCUGCUUUACGAUAAACCACCCUGAUCAAAAUGCUUCAAUGAUUAUUUUUGAGAUGUCUGAGCUGAAAAUGUACAGAUUUCACAGGACAAAGCGUGUGCCAAACUGUGAUUGCACAAUCAAAGCGCUGCAAGGAACCAACGAGGCCAAAUGUGUGUUGGAGAAACUACAGAUGUCAUCUGGGAAUGCUCAGAGCUUUGGAUUUUUAAGCUGAGACAGUCUCGCUUCCACCGGAACCACAGCCUUAUAAGGCUAAACCAAGGCCAUGACUUCCUCAGCUGAAUCAACCUGACACAUACCGCCUGUUCCCUGAGCUCACUGGGAUUCCACUGGCUGAGCGUCAGCCCCGUCAUGGAAAGAACACCAGCACCGGGGAGGACUGGAUUAGUCCCCAUCCUGAACUGGAUCACAAACACCCACCUUGUCAUAAAACUGCUAUGAGCCUUGCAGUGGAAAGACGGGGGAGGCAACACAAUGGGGUCAGGAGUAGGGACCUUUAGGCUCCCCAGAGAAAUUAGUCACAAAGUCUUAUCCCUUCAUUUCCAUUUACAGCCACUUAUUUGGGAGCAAUAAGUUCUAAAAGGGUGAAAAACAAAGACCAUCCUCCCCUCCCCCAGCAUGUAUUCUCAAGUUCACAGGAAGGACUCUCAUUUGCUUUGGGGUACAAAGAGUACCUGUUAACAGCUGCAUCUUCCCAUGGACAAAUCACACGGUGCAUGUUCACAGAAACACAGGACUCCAGGGGAAAAAAAUCAGUCAUUUACUCAACUCGCUUUACCAGACCUGGUCCCUAGAGCUAUACCCAAGCUCUAGAAAAAGGAA